rnacentral:lncRNA from 1 species
CCAAACAAAUCAUCAGACAAUCUGGAAGGAAUCAUCCAGGUCCAAGCAUCCACAAACCAUAUUCUGAAGAAACAAGCUUUAUGCCAUAGGGAAUGGAUGACCUUCUCCAACUACUGAUCCGUAUUCCAUGUACAUCUUCCUAGCCUCUGGAAAAAAAAAGAUACAUAAUAUCAGGACUGACCUAGACACUGGCCACACUACAUUGCUAGCGCUUUUCAACUUUCAAAGGGCACGCGGAGCUUGUCUGGAGGCUGAAGCCAUUUGCUGAACGGCAUAGCCUCACCGUCAGAGUGCAGAAACGAAUUGAACUGACGCAGCCUAACUCGCUAGCAUGUAGUGGGCCACGAUUGAGCCUCUGGCUUUAGGCUUUAGCGCACGUACAACAGUUUAGACAGUUGUUGUCUGCGAGUUAUGCCAUGUUACACAUAGAUAGCUAAAAAGAUAGGUUGUCUAUUUAGACGUCUGCAAACUAUUUGAUUGACCUAUAAACACAUAAAUCGUGAUAAUCAAGUAUAAAUUUGGGUUGUCUAUUUAGAUGUCUGCAAGCAUAAACACAUAAAUCGUGAUGCUCAAGUAUAAAUUUGAUCUUUGUUGCUAUUUUAGACAGCACUGCCUUGUUGACUCAGGCGGCAAUACACCUGCCGCAGCUCCAACCAAAAGCGGCUGGCUGCUGAACUGCCGGAUCCUCAAGGGUUCAGCGGCCGAGCUGCCUUAUCCGGUUGCCCGGCCGGCAGCAGGUAAUGACUCUCGAGCCAGUUGCGUUUAAUUAUAAGCGCUAU